rnacentral:misc_RNA from 1 species
GAAAUGCGAUAAGUAAUGUGAAUUGCAGAAUUCAGUGAAUCAUCGAAUCUUUGAACGCACAUUGCGCCCGCCAGUAUUCUGGCGGGCAUGCCUGUUCGAGCGUCAUUUCAACCCUCAAGCCCCCCCGGGGGCUCGGUGUUGGGGACCGGCCCCGCCUAGCCGCGGGUCGCCGCCCCCGAAAUACAGUGGCGGUCCCGCCGCAGCCUCCUCUGCGUAGUAGCUCUUUUGAAACCUCGCACCGGAGCGCGGCGCGGCCACGCCGUUAAACCCCCCCAACUUUCUGAAAGGUUGACCUCGGAUCAGGUAGGAAUACCCGCUGAACUUAA